AGAUGGCGACCGGCGCACGGGUGAGUAACACGUAUCCAACCUGCCGAUAACUCGGGGAUAGCCUUUCGAAAGAAAGAUUAAUACCCGAUGGUAUAAUCAGACCGCAUGGUCUUGUUAUUAAAAAAUUUCGGUUAUCGAUGGGGAUGCGUUCCAUUAGGCAGUUGGUGAGGUAACGGCUCACCAAACCUUCGAUGGAUAGGGGUUCUGAGAGGAAGGUCCCCCACAUUGGAACUGAGACACGGUCCAA
rnacentral:rRNA from 1 species